rnacentral:lncRNA from 1 species
AGGGCGAAGUCGGCUGUCGGGAAAGGGAGGAGUCAGACGGGCUGUCCCACUGCGAAUGACUCAGGGAGACUGGACGAGCCCAAAGAGAAAUAAAGGGGUCAGCUCUACUUUUGGAAGUCUUGAAGAACUAAGACGGACGUUCCCUAAACAAAUCACCACCUGGCCGGAUAAGAAUCGAACAAAGUAUCUUAAGGAGAACUGGGGCAAUCCCUUUUUGAUCACAGAGAAGUUUAGGAUCCCCGAUGUCAGCCAGGCCUGGUGGCUCUCGCCUUUAAUCCCACCUCUCAGGAGGCAGAGUCAGGAGGACGCCUCAAGAAUGUACCUGGUUUGAGACCAGCCUGGGUUGGUAUCACAGUAUCUACAACAGCGAGUUCCAUCCAGGCCAGCCAAGGUUCAUUGCUAUCCCCCUCCAAAAAAAAAAAAAAAAAAAAAAAAAAAAAGGUGGUGGUGGUGGUGGUGAGUUAUAGUGAGUUAUAAUACCAUAUUUCUUCAUCCUAUGGAAAACGCCCAGCAUGGAAGAUCUUGCCAACCAUGUGACUAGCCUUCCUUCUGCCCCCAGGAGCACGCUCCAGCUUGAGACCUUAAGUUCAAGCUGGAGCCUGCUAGCUCCCCAGUUCCAAAAAGCCUCAGCCAGCUUUAUGGACCACCCAGAUCUGGUGAGUGCAGGGUCCGGUUCAGCAGCGUUUGGCGCCUUAAUGAUGCUCAUCAGCCUCGUGUGCGUAUUGAGGAUCUUCUUCCCUAGGUGUACAGCUCAUUGACAUGACCCCUUGUGUUCCUAGAAAGUUAUAUAUCCUGCAGGAUCCUGAACUGUGACCACACCAUCCAGUUUUGUUACUCGGACUCCGGAAAAGCCCAGCUUUGACUUACAACCCUUCAAGGAAACACACCAUGCUGAUUGGUCAAGCUAAAGUCAGUGUCUCUGCUUGCUCAUCUGACUUUAAAGCCGCCUGCUGCUUUCUCUCCUGCUUGGUUUGGUUACCUUUGUCUUGAUUUGGUGUGGUUGAGACAGAGUCUCACUCAGUAUCAUUCCUUAGACCAGGGCUGGCCUGGAGAGCACUGUCUACCCCAAGCUGGUCUUAGACUCAGCAUUCUCCUGCCUCAUUCAUUCGUCCAAAUUCUGAGAUUACAGGCAUGAACAGCCUUGGCUUUGUGAUGCUACGAACCUUUCUGCUCCGGCACCACGGACAGUUAAGUUCUCUAAGAAGUGGCUUUGCUUCUUCCUCCUUGGUGUUGAGUGUUGGCAUUCCCCACUCUUGCUUUAUUCUGUCAGUGGGAGCUGGAACAUUCCAGAAGCAGCGCUGAUAUUCAGUUAUUCCGAUACUUGCAGAAACCGCUCUCCUUCUCCCUCAUACUCCCCGGAUAACCCUCCUCAUUCGUCUGAGCCUCCACUCUUUAGAUAGGCUAUGGCGUCUGUCAAGCCCGUGGCUGGAAGAUGGCAGAUAUUCCAGAAUGGUUAUAAAUGCAGCCCAGAACACCUGAGAGCACAGGACCAUGCUUAUACUCGCUACAGUAGACUUGUGGGAGUCAGGUCACUUCCUUCACAAGAAGUCAGGUUGGGUGGUAAGUGCCCUUAUGUGCUGAGCCAUCUGACUAGCCCUGAAAAAACUUUUUAAAAAACUAUUUUGUUUAUCUUUUUUGGUGGGGUGGGGUGACAUACCCUGCUCAUGUGUAGAGGUAGAGAACUUUUUUUUUUAGUAUUCUCCCCUCCUACUGUGAGAGAGAGUCCUAGGGAUCCUAACUCAGGUUGUCAGGCUCCACAACAGGUAUCUACCCUCUGAGCCAUCUUAAGAGCCUUGAAAAAAAAAAAAAACAAC